CGUUAUGAUUCCUACGGGAGGCAGCAGUCGGGGAAUAUUGCACAAUGGGCGCAAGCCUGAUGCAGGCCAUGCCGCGUGUGUGAAGAAGGCCUUCGGGUUGUAAAGCACUUUCAGUCGUGAGGAAGGUAGUGUAGUUAAUAGCUGCAUUAUUUGACGUUAGCGACAGAAGAAGCACCGGCUAACUCCGUGCCAGCAGCCGCGGUAAUACGGAGGGUGCGAGCGUUAAUCGGAAUUACUGGGCGUAAAGCGCAUGCAGGUGGUUUGUUAAGUCAGAUGUGAAAGCCCGGGGCUCAACCUCGGAAUAGCAUUUGAAACUGGCAGACUAGAGUACUGUAGAGGGGGUAGAAUUUCAGGUGUAGCGGUGAAAAUGCGUAGAGAUCUGAAGGAAUACCGGUGGCGAAGGCGGCCCCCUGGACAGAUACUGACACUCAGAUGCGAAAGCGUGGGGAGCAAACAGGAUUAGAUACCCUGGUAG
rnacentral:rRNA from 1 species